rnacentral:rRNA from 1 species
CUACGUGCCAGCAGCCGCGGUAAUACGGAGGGUGCGAGCGUUAAUCGGAAUAACUGGGCGUAAAGGGCACGCAGGCGGUGACUUAAGUGAGGUGUGAAAGCCCCGGGCUUAACCUGGGAAUUGCAUUUCAUACUGGGUCGCUAGAGUACUUUAGGGAGGGGUAGAAUUCCACGUGUAGCGGUGAAAUGCGUAGAGAUGUGGAGGAAUACCGAAGGCGAAGGCAGCCCCUUGGGAAUGUACUGACGCUCAUGUGCGAAAGCGUGGGGAGCAAACAGGAUUAGAUACCCUGGUAGUCCACGCUGUAAACGAUGUCGAUUUGGGGGUUGAACUAUAAGUUUGGCGCCCGUAGCUAACGUGAUAAAUCGACCGCCUGGGGAGUACGGCCGCAAGGUUAAAACUCAAAUGAAUUGACGGGGGCCCGCACAAGCGGUGGAGCAUGUGGUUUAAUUCGAUGCAACGCGAAGAACCUUACCUACUCUU